rnacentral:rRNA from 1 species
UACGAAGGGGGCUAGCGUUGCUCGGAAUGACUGGGCGUAAAGGGCGCGUAGGCGGCUUGUACAGUCAGAUGUGAAAUUCCUGGGCUCAACCUGGGGGCUGCAUUUGAUACGUAUGGGCUUGAGUGGGGAAGAGGGUCGUGGAAUUCCCAGUGUAGAGGUGAAAUUCGUAGAUAUUGGGAAGAACACCGGUGGCGAAGGCGGCGACCUGGUCCAUUACUGACGCUGAGGCGCGAAAGCGUGGGGAGCAAACAGG